GGUUCAUGUCUCUGUUACUGUUCUGUACCCUUUAAAAUGUGUUGCUCAAUUUUUCAAAAUCCUAAAAAGUGGGAACUGAGGAAAAUUAUGUCCUCUUGUUCAUAGAAGAAAAUGUAUUUUCCAGGCAGUACGUUUUGGACUCAUGAAGUUUUGAAGUUUGCUCCUGGCAGUGUUUGGUAUUUAUUUCUGUGAAGUACAGACCAAUAGCAACAGGAGAGAGAUAUCAGAGCACCCUGCAAACUGGAGACCGUGGGCACUGUCCUAGGAAUUGUGAAAGCUGGAGCUGACUCUGUCAGAAUGAGAAGGUUCUAGAAUCUGACCCCCCCUCUGCCCAGGAAAUAGAAACACUUGGCCACUCUAUAAAUGAGACUUUACCAUGACUCUUCAGACCAUCUGUCAUUGGUGAAGAAAGUAUCUCGGUCAGUGAAUGGUUCUUCAUAGUGGUGUCAAGCAAAAGAAAAACCAAGCCUGUCAUUGUCAUCUGCAUGUAGAAAAUUACUGAGAGCACCUCUGUUAGAAUUUUAGUGUUUAAGAACUGUACAGGGCAUGGUAACUAUGAGAAUACUGCUCCACAAAAUCAAAUUGAAAAGGUAACCUUUGUUAAUUAGCAUAUUUGAAUAAAUGAUCUCGAAAGUA